rnacentral:rRNA from 1 species
UACAGAGGGUGCAAGCGUUGUUCGGAAUUAUUGGGCGUAAAGCGCGUGUAGGCGGCUUUGCAAGUCGGGUGUGAAAGCCCCCAGCUUAACUGGGGAAGUGCGCUCGAAACUGCAGGGCUUGAGUACCGGAGAGGGUGGCGGAAUUCCCCAAGUAGAGGUGAAAUUCGUAGAUAUGGGGAGGAACACCGGUGGCGAAGGCGGCCACCUGGACGGAUACUGACGCUGAGACGCGAAAGCGUGGGGAGCAAACAGG